GUCGGCUUAGGUCAGACUUGUUUGAUCCCACAUUGGUGCCGAUUAAAAAUGAGAGCAGCUAUAUAAGGAGUCGAGAGAGAAGAAGAAGCACGACCUUACUUGAACAGGAUCUGUUCUAUAGGCUCGUACCUCUGUAUUCUUGAUUCCUAUGAAGACAGAAACCCAUGUCUGGUUGAUGAACCACGACCAUGUAACCAGAGCGUGAUUAACAGAACUUCAUGGUCUCGGCCAUGGCUCGGUAGAUGAUCGUUGCCAAUCCAUCUAAUGGUCCUGGCAUGUCUACAUGGUUGUCUGACAGACAAACUCAUAUUUUUUUGUUUUUAUUAUAUGGAAAGCGCUGAAGUUAUACGGAAAUUUGUCUAAAUUAGAGCUGCACACCAAAUGUUUGAUGAAAUGCCUGAAGGAGAUUGCCUUUCCUUUUUUGCCUUCUUCUACAGUCAGGUGAUGAUUUAUCCCUACUUUGAUCAUGAGUGAAUUCUUGAGAUAUUGAAUUUGUUUAGGAAGAUGGAAUGGGAGGGUGUAAAUCAGUAAAUUGUAAUCCAUUAUAAACAAAGUGAUACUAUGUGCUAAGAUUUGAUGACGCAUGUAUAAAGAAAGUAAGGAAGUAGAUUUUGGAGAAAAAUAAACUCAGUUGACCAAUUUGUUUACCUUUAUUUAUUUAUUUUGGUGUUGCAUUCUUCAAGGUUUCUUCUGUGGAAAUGGAGGUUUUGGUUUCAAGGUGUUAUGAAAUACAAGAUAAGAAAUAAAAAAGUGUGUAACAUUGAUUGGGUGAAAUAUAGAAAAAUAUAAAUAUAAUCUUUGGUAUUUAGUUUUUAAAUUAAUAAAAAAAGCUAGACAUCAGGGUAAAUCGUAAAUGGUUUGUGUAUAGAAAUUAGAAAGAAAGUGGGACGGGUUUUAUCCCACAUCGCGCUGUGAGAGAGUCAAGUAGAACUUUCAACAAGCGUUUUCUUCUUAUUUACUACAACAAUCUAUUUUCUUGAAGUAAAAGACUUUUUUUUUUUGUUUUAAAGAUCAAAAUAUGUAACAUACAUUGUUACGUAAAUUGAUAAUAUAGAGAGUAUUGUUACACAUAGUCAAGUUCAAAUAACUGAAACAAUAACAACAAAAAGAUGCUCCCAAGAUCUCAUGGCAAUAGGAUAGGGGAGGUGAAUGUAGUUAGUCUUGCACUCUUGCUUCCACCUUGGGGAUAAUGCGGUUUCUAUUUUCACACAAGACCUCACACAUAAGAGAAAGGCGGUGCAAUCAGUAAAUAAAUGCAUCGAGUAUUUACAAACAAUGCAUAAUAAGAUUAUAAUAAGCAAAGGUGUUCAAAACAUAUAUCACUGAUGAAUAUGUGGAAGGGCAUGUAGAUGUUAAACGCUAAACUGACAUGCAUAAACAAAUAGAAGAGAGGUAAUGACUAGACUAUCCCAAUACACUCAUUCUAAGUCAAAGAAAAGACAAUCCCUUCACAUCUGAUACGCUAUCUUCGCAUGUCCUUCUAAGGAGUCCUCUCCUCCUUGUACCAUCAACUAAAGUUGUCUCCACCCUCCUCCUAAGGCCAUGUGAUGGCCUCCUAUGGACGUGUCCACCUCAAUUCUCAUUAGGAGGUCGAACCAAGGACCUAUGGAAGUCAAGCUAGCCCGUCCCCAUGGGCAACACAAUAAUGACCAUCACAAUCUUCCAUCCCUCAAAUAUCGAUGAUUGAUGACACACCUAACGCAUUUCUAAUUGCCUUAUUUCAAUUUUUUUAAACAAAGUUCUAAAGUAUAUCCAUCGUAACAUCCUUAUUUUUGCAAAUUUCAUAUCCUUUUCGAAGUCCUUCCGCAUCGGCCAAUAAUAUUCUAAUCCAUAUAACGUAGCAAACUGAACUACCACCAUAUAGAUCUUUCUUUUUGUUGGAACUUUGUUAAAUGGAAAACACUCUCUUUGGGACUUGUCCCACAUUGGAAGAAAGAGGAAACUUAUACUCCCUUAAAAAGCCUCUUACUAGUUGUUUAAUAAUUAGAUCAAAGGCUUGGACUAGAGGGAGUGGGUUGGAUUUGGUGAUUGGGCUAGUCAAAUUGGUCUUGAAAGCUUAUGUUAAUAUAUAUAUAUUUAAUGGUCAAAGAUUGGUUCUUGGGGUCUCAUUGACUAGUUACAAUAUUUUAUAUAUAUAUUAAUUCCGAU